GGAUCAAUGACGAUUCUCAGAAUGCAUUCCUUGGAAAGCUGAAGAAAAUGAGUGAGAAAUCUCUACCGUUUCAUCUCAUCUUACUGAGGUCC
ensembl:snoRNA SNORD116 Small nucleolar RNA SNORD116